rnacentral:rRNA from 1 species
AUACGUAGGGGGCGAGCGUUGUCCGGAAUGAUUGGGCGUAAAGGGCGCGUAGGCGGCCCGUUAAGUCUGGAGUGAAAGUCCUGCUUUCAAGGUGGGAAUUGCUUUGGAUACUGAUGGGCUGGAGUGCAGGAGAGGAAAGCGGAAUUACCGGUGUAGCGGUGAAAUGCGUAGAGAUCGGUAGGAACACCAGUGGCGAAGGCGGCUUUCUGGACUGAAACUGACGCUGAGGCGCGAAAGCGUGGGGAGC